rnacentral:rRNA from 1 species
GACGAACGCUGGCGGCGUGCUUAACACAUGCAAGUCGAACGCUGAAGCCCAGCUUGUUGGGUGGAUGCGUGGCGAACGGGUGAGUAACACGCGAGUAACCUGCCCUCUUCUUUGGGAUAACGCCCGGAAAAGGGUGCUAAUACAGGAUAUUCAAUGUUUUUCGCCUGGGGGUUGGUGGAAAGGUUUCUUCUGGUGGGGGAUGGGCUCGGGGCCUAGCAGCUUGUUGGUGGGGUGUUGGCCUACCAAGGCUUUGACGGGUAGCCGGCCUGGGAGGGUGACCGGUCACAGUGGCACUGAACAUCGGGCCAGAGAUCUGUGGGAGGCAGCAGUGGGGAGCAUUGGACGAGAGGCGAAAGCCUUAUGCGGCGGCGCGGUGUGGGGGAUGGGGGCCUUCGAGUUGUGAACCUCUGUCGCACACGGUCAAGGCGCGUCUUGGGGUUGUAGUGAGGGUAAUGGGUAAAGAAGCACCGGCUAACUACGUG